AACGAACGCUGGCGGCAUGCCUAACACAUGCAAGUCGAACGAGAUCUUCGGGUCUAUUUGCGCACGUCUGCUUAACGCGUGGGAACCUGCCCUUAGGUUCGGAAUCACUCCCCGAAAGGGGUGCUAAUACCGGUUAAUGUCUUCCGACCAAAGAUUUAUCGCCUUUGGAUGGGCCCGCGUUGGAUUCGCUAGUUGGUAGGGUAAAAGCCUACCAAGGCGACGAUGCAUAGCUGGUCUGAGAGGAGGAUAAUCCACACUGGGACUGAGACACGGCCCAGACUCCGACGGGAGGCAGCAGUGGAGAAUAUAGGACAAGGGGCGAAAGUCUGAUCAAGCAAUGCCGGGGGAGUGAUGAAGGCCUUAGGGUUGUAAAGCUCUUUGACCCGGGAUGAUAAUGACAGUAACGGGAGAAUAAGCUCCGGCUAACUCCGUG
rnacentral:rRNA from 1 species